CCAGAGGUCGCUGGAGGCUGUCAGGUGUGACCAGGGGAGAGGUGCAAGUCAAUUGGACAGAUCUGUCACUACCAAGGCCCUCGGGAUGCGGGUGACAUGACAUGAGAGUCUCCGUGAUCACUCUAGUAGAGCCUGACAACCGGUUCCAAGGAGACUGCAAGGUCUACAAAGGGGAUGUAGUGUUUCCCCAGAUCAAGUAUGAAGACAUUGCGCAUCUCUAGUCAAAACAGGCCUUGCAGAUUUUCUGGCUGGCGCCCGCAUGGUUGGUUUCCUUUCAAAUUGGACUUUGACAUUUGUACGUUCCUAUCAAAUGGCAGGGACUGGGAGACUAGUCAGGAUUGAAGCAAAGAUGAACGGAACAUAUUACAGAGAAAUCCUUAAUGAAACCUGCUCUAGAGCGCCCAGGACCUCAGACUGGGUUGAAGGUUCACCUUCCAUCAAGACAACAACCGUAAGCGCACAGCCAAGACAACGCAAGAC